GGGUUCGACCGCACUUGCGGUCGGAGGUCAAUUCGGAUGGUCGGGCCGCCAUCCG
rnacentral:ncRNA from 1 species